UAAACCCGUGCACUUCCCUUUGGAGCUUGUGUUUGGACGUGAAUUACUUGCCUCUCCCUCUUCCGAGGUUAAGAGGUAUGAACUCGUUGCGACGAUCACUCAUCAUGGAAGGGACCCUUCAAAGGGUCAUUAUACAGCCGAUGCCCGUCAUCCAAGUGGCAAGUGGCUGCGUUACGAUGAUGUGUCAGUCACAGUCAUCCCCAAAAGCUCGGUGCUGCAUGAUCAAGCGUACGUUCUCUUCUACAAACAGUUGUAACUUGUAUUUGGUACUUUCAAGUUGCACUAAAUUGGUUCAACAAUGAAAAAAGAGAGAUUAGGGAAUAUAUUCUUGUACAUGUAUAAGAAAAGUUCAAUAGAUAA